CUCGAUAGCAGGAGAGGUGGUGCAUGGCCGUCGUCAGCUCGUACCGUAGGGCGUUCACUUAAGUGUGAUAACGAGCGAGACCCCCAUCUUUCAAUUGCUAAGCUAACCGUGAGGUUGGUAGAACUUUGAAGGGACCGCCAGUGCAGAACUGGAGGAAGGAGGGGUCGUACGGCAGGUCAGUACGCCCGAAUCUUUCCGGGCAACACGCGCGCCUACAAAGGACAGGACCAAUGGGCUGCGACCUCGAAAGGGGAAGCCAAUCCCGAAACCUGUUCGUAGUUAGGAUUGAGGG
rnacentral:rRNA from 1 species